UAAAACGUAGGGUGCAAGCGUUGUCCGGAAUUACUGGGUGUAAAGGGAGCGCAGGCGGAAUGGCAAGUUGGGAGUGAAAACUACGGGCUCAACCCGUAGACUGCUCUCAAAACUGCUGUUCUUGAGUGGUGUAGAGGUAGGCGGAAUUCCCGGUGUAGCGGUGGAAUGCGUAGAUAUCGGGAGGAACACCAGUGGCGAAGGCGGCCUACUGGGCACUAACUGACGCUGAGGCUCGAAAGCAUGGGUAGCAAACAGG
rnacentral:rRNA from 1 species